CAGUAGCCGCGGUAAUACGAAGGGUGCAAGCGUUAAUCGGAAUUACUGGGCGUAAAGCGUGCGUAGGCGGUGAGUUAAGUCUGCUGUGAAAUCCCCGGGCUCAACCGGGGAAGUGGAGCCGAAACGACCCGUCUGGAGGGACGUAGGGGGACCUGGAACUUCCGGUGGAGCGGUGAAAUGCGUUGAGAUCGGAAGGGACGCCCGUGGCGAAAGCGAGGUCCUGGACGUCUGCUGACGCUGAGACGCGAAAGCCAGGGGAGCGAACGGGAUUAGAUACCCCAGUAGUCCCUGUCUCUUAUAC
rnacentral:rRNA from 1 species